rnacentral:rRNA from 1 species
GAGUAACGCGUGGGAAGCUACCUUGUGGUAGGGGACAACAGUUUGAAAAGACUGCUAAUACCCUAUGAGCCCUAUGGGGGAAAGAUUUAUCGCCAUGAGAUGUGCCCGCGUUAGAUUAGCUAGUUGGUAAGGUAAUGGCUUACCAAGGCGACGAUCUAUAGCUGGUCUGAGAGGAUGAUCAGCCACACUGGGACUGAGACACGGCCCAGACUCCUACGGGAGGCAGCAGUGGGGAAUAUUGGACAAUGGGGGCAACCCUGAUCCAGCCAUGCCGCGUGUGUGAUGACGGCCUUAGGGUUGUAAAGCACUUUCAGCAGUGAAGAUAAUGACAUUAACUGCAGAAGAAGCCCCGGCUAACUUCGUGCCAGCAGCCGCGGUAAUACGAAGGGGGCUAGCGUUGUUCGGAAUCACUGGGCGUAAAGAGUACGUAGGCGGACUGAUAAGUUAGGGGUGAAAUCCCAAGGCUCAACCUUGGAACUGCCUUUGAUACUGUCAGUCUUGAGAUCGAGAGAGGUGAGUGGAACUCCGAGUGUAGAGGUGAAAUUCGUAGAUAUUCGGAA